GCUUACGGCCACACCGGCCUGAGUACGCCUGAUCUCGUCCUGAUCUCGGAAGCUAAGCAGGGUCGGGCCUGGUAGUACUUGGAUGGGAGACCGCCUGGGAAUACCAGGUGCUGUAAGCU
rnacentral:rRNA from 1 species